CCAUGCGCAGCUACACAUGCAGUCGAGCGGUAGCACAGAGAGCUUGCUCUCGGGUGACGAGCGGCGGACGGGUGAGUAAUGUCUGGGAAACUGCCUGAUGGAGGGGGAUAACUACUGGAAACGGUAGCUAAUACCGCAUAACGUCGCAAGACCAAAGUGGGGGACCUUCGGGCCUCAUGCCAUCAGAUGUGCCCAGAUGGGAUUAGCUGGUAGGUGGGGUAACGGCUCACCUAGGCGACGAUCCCUAGCUGGUCUGAGAGGAUGACCAGCCACACUGGAACUGAGACACGGUCCAGACUCCUACGGGAGGCAGCAGUGGGGAAUAUUGCACAAUGGGCGCAAGCCUGAUGCAGCCAUGCCGCGUGUGUGAAGAAGGCCUUCGGGUUGUAAAGCACUUUCAGCGGGGAGGAAGGCGGUGAGGUUAAUAACCUCAUCGAUUGACGUUACCCGCAGAAGAAGCACCGGCUAACUCCGUGCCAGCAGCCGCGGUAAUACGGAGGGUGCAAGCGUUAAUCGGAAUUACUGGGCGUAAAGCGCACGCAGGCGGUCUGUCAAGUCGGAUGUGAAAUCCCCGGGCUCAACCUGGGAACUGCAUUCGAAACUGGCAGGCUAGAGUCUUGUAGAGGGGGGUAGAAUUCCAGGUGUAGCGGUGAAAUGCGUAGAGAUCUGGAGGAAUACCGGUGGCGAAGGCGGCCCCCUGGACAAAGACUGACGCUCAGGUGCGAAAGCGUGGGGAGCAAACAGGAUUAGAUACCCUGGUAGUCCACGCUGUAAACGAUGUCGAUUUGGAGGUUGUGCCCUUGAGGCGUGGCUUCCGGAGCUAACGCGUUAAAUCGACCGCCUGGGGAGUACGGCCGCAAGGUUAAAACUCAAAUGAAUUGACGGGGGCCCGCACAAGCGGUGGAGCAUGUGGUUUAAUUCGAUGCAACGCGAAGAACCUUACCUGGUCUUGACAUCCACAGAACUUUCCAGAGAUGGAUUGGUGCCUUCGGGAACUGUGAGACAGGUGCUGCAUGGCUGUCGUCAGCUCGUGUUGUGAAAUGUUGGGUUAAGUCCCGCAACGAGCGCAACCCUUAUCCUUUGUUGCCAGCGGUCAGGCCGGGAACUCAAAGGAGACUGCCAGUGAUAAACUGGAGGAAGGUGGGGAUGACGUCAAGUCAUCAUGGCCCUUACGACCAGGGCUACACACGUGCUACAAUGGCAUAUACAAAGAGAAGCGACCUCGCGAGAGCAAGCGGACCUCAUAAAGUAUGUCGUAGUCCGGAUUGGAGUCUGCAACUCGACUCCAUGAAGUCGGAAUCGCUAGUAAUCGUAGAUCAGAAUGCUACGGUGAAUACGUUCCCGGGCCUUGUACACACCGCCCGUCACACCAUGGGAGUGGGUUGCAAAAGAAGUAGGUAGCUUAACCUUCGGGAGGGCGCUACCACUUUUGAUAGGGG
rnacentral:rRNA from 1 species